CCUACGGGAGGCAGCAGUGAGGAAUAUUGGACAAUGGGCGGGAGCCUGAUCCAGCCAUGCCGCGUGCAGGAAGACUGCCCUAUGGGUUGUAAACUGCUUUUAUACAGGAAGAAACACUCCCUCGUGAGGGAGCUUGACGGUACUGUAAGAAUAAGGAUCGGCUAACUCC
rnacentral:rRNA from 1 species